AAAACUAUUACAACUAUAUUAAAAAUGUUGCUAUAAACUUAUCUAUAGCAACGGUUAUGUAAACCGUUGAGAUAAAGCCCUCUAAGGCAACACUCUGUAAAUUAAUUUAUGUAUAGGAGCAGUUAUUUACUCCCUCCAUAAUUUCCCCCACUUAUUUUUCGUAGCCCACAAAUGAGAUAUUUGUAUUCUUUUCUUUAAUAAAAAAACACAACUUCAAACAAACCCAGAAUGCACAAACCUAUUCUCACUUCUCUCUUUAGACAAACUCAGUUUUCUCUUCAUUGUUUUUAGAAAAAUCCAUCAUUUUUGUUCUCUUUUUAGACAAAGCCAUGUAGAAAUCUUGCUGGAGAAUGACUGGAGGAUGAAAAAAAAAUCAUUUUGAUAUUGUAUUUGAGAUUCUAGUGAUUUAGGUUUUGCUUCUCUGUGAUUUUUGUCAAAGUGAGAAAUCUUUGAGGGAACUCCGACAACCUACAUUUUUGGCAAGGUCUUAGUCCCAAAAGGUUCUUCAAGUUUCUUAUCUCCGUCAAACAGAGAACAAACUUCACCUUGCUUAUCUCCAUUUAAGUAUUCACCAUCUUUCUGCAAUUCUUCUGAGGAAAGUUUCACUUCACUGUGGAGCUACAAUGAAUCAGAGGUGAUUGGAGUUGCUUGGAGAAGGCAUAAACAUAAUUUGAAGAAUUUUGUUACAAACCAUAUGCCAAUGAUGAAGUUUGAAUGGCAAAAAGGCCUUCUUAUAUGCUAGAAUGUCAACUUAAGGAACUCCUCAAAUAUUGAAACUCUCAUAAACAUAAGGUGAUGAAAUCGGAAGGGACGAAAGCAGUACAGAAGACUUGACGUAGGACCUGGAUCGGGUUGAUGUUAACUUUACCUACGUUCUAGAAUCUUUUAAUUUUGAGAAUUAAAAACUGUGGUGUGUUUCACCUUUUUUGAAUGGUCAAAAAAUAUGUAUAUUUUACUUUUAUCAAUAUUACCUAAUCAGGAUCUUGGAUAGUAAUUUUGGUAAUGAAUAGUUUCUGUUUUGGUGAUCGA